rnacentral:rRNA from 1 species
GUGGGGAAUAUUGCACAAUGGGCGAAAGCCUGAUGCAGCGACGCCGCGUGAGGGAUGACGGCCUUCGGGUUGUAAACCUCUUUCAGCAGGGAAGAAGCGCAAGUGACGGUACCUGCAGAAGAAGCACCGGCUAACUACGUGCCAGCAGCCGCGGUAAUACGUAGGGUGCGAGCGUUGUCCGGAAUUAUUGGGCGUAAAGGGCUUGUAGGCGGUUUGUCGCGUCUGCUGUGAAAAUCCGAGGCUCAACCUCGGACUUGCAGUGGGUACGGGCAGACUAGAGUGUGGUAGGGGAGACUGGAAUUCCUGGUGUAGCGGUGAAAUGCGCAGAUAUCAGGAGGAACACCGAUGGCGAAGGCAGGUCUCUGGGCCACUACUGACGCUGAGAAGCGAAAGCAUGGGGAGCGAACAGGAUUAGAAACCCCAGUAGUCC